rnacentral:rRNA from 1 species
CGAAAGCCUGACGGAGCAACGCCGCGUGAGGGAUGAAGACCUUUGGGCUGUAAACCUCUUUUCUCAAGGAAGAAGAUCUGACGGUACUUGAGGAAUAAGCCACGGCUAAUUCCGUGCCAGCAGCCGCGGUAAUACGGGAGUGGCAAGCGUUAUCCGGAAUUAUUGGGCGUAAAGCGUCCGCAGGCGGCCGUUUAAGUCUGUUGUUAAAUCGUGGAGCUCAACUCCAUCACGGCAAUGGAAACUGUUCGGCUUGAGUAUGGUAGGGGCAGAGGGAAUUUCCGGUGUAGCGGUGAAAUGCGUAGAUAUCGGGAAGAACACCAGUGGCGAAAGCGCUCUGCUAGGCCAUUACUGACGCUCAUGGACGAAAGCCAGGGGAGCGAAAGGGAUUAGAUACCCCUGUAGUCCUGGCCGUAAACGAUGAACACUAGAUGUUGGGGGAAUCGACCCCCUCGGUGUCGUAGCUAACGCGUUAAGUGUUCCGCCUGGGGAGUACGCACGCAAGUGUGAAACUCAAAGGAAUUGACGGGGGCCCGCACAAGCGGUGGAGUAUGUGGUUUAAUUCGAUGCAACGCGAAGAACCUUACCAAGGCUUGACAUCCUGCGAAUCUCUAGGAAAUUAGAGAGUGCCUUCGGGAACGCAGUGACAGGUGGUGCAUGGCUGUCGUCAGCUCGUGUCGUGAGAUGUUGGGUUAAGUCCCGCAACGAGCGCAACCCACGUUUUUAGUUGCCAGCAUUCAGUUGGGCACUCUAGAAAGACUGCCGGUGACAACCGGAGGAAGGUGUGGACGACGUCAAGUCAUCAUGCCCCUUACGCCUUGGGCUACACACGUACUACAAUGCUGCGGACAAAGAGUAGCGAUCUUGCAAAAGUUAGCUAAUCUCGUAAACCGUGGCUCAGUUCAGAUCGUAGGCUGCAACUCGCCUACGUGAAGUAGGAAUCGCUAGUAAUCGCAGGUCAGCAUACUGCGGUGAAUACGUUCCCGGGCCUUGUACACACCGCCCGUCACACCAUGGAAGUUGGCCAUGCCCGAAGUCGUUACUCUAACCUUUUGGAAGAGGGCGCCGAAGGCAGGGCUAAUGACUGGGGUGAAGUCGUAACAAGGUAGCCGUAGCGGAAGCUGCGGCUGGAUCACCUCCUAA